rnacentral:rRNA from 1 species
AUGAGAGCAAUGGAAGAGAAUGUGGAAAAGACGGCAGAGGUAGCAAUCGAGACUAUCGAGAAAGCGGCGGAUGUGGUUGACAAACUCGCAGACGAAGUCAUAGCAUUUCCCGGUAAUGAAAACCUUAAGAAGGCAGCCUUCAGGAUCAAAGUCAUCGCAGAAGAGAUAGAGAAGGAUGCAGAAGAAGCCGAGGCCCUAAUCCACAAGGUUAGGUUAACUGCCUAUGAAUGUAUUAGUUCCCUACUUCCUCUGGUCCUUUUUACUCCCCAUAUUAGAUUUGUGUCAAGUCAAACUUUGCAAAGUUUGACCAAACUUAUAUUAGAAAAUAUCAACAUCUACAAUACCAAAUGUAUAUACUAUGAAACUUCGUUGCAUAGUGAAUCUAACAAUAUUGAUUUGGCAUUGUGA